rnacentral:rRNA from 1 species
GACGAACGCUGGCGGCGUGCUUAACACAUGCAAGUCGAACGGAAAGGCCCGGCUUUUGUGGGGUGCUCGAGUGGCGAACGGGUGAGUAACACGUGAGUAACCUGCCCUUGACUUUGGGAUAACUUCAGGAAACUGGGGCUAAUACCGGAUAGGAUCUCCUGCUGCAUGGUGGGGGUUGGAAAGUUUCGGCGGUUGGGGAUGGACUCGCGGCUUAUCAGCUUGUUUGUGGGGUAGUGGCUUACCAAGGCUUUGACGGGUAGCCGGCCUGAGAGGGUGACCGGGCACAUUGGGACUGAGAUACGGCCCAGACUCCUACGGGCGGCAGCAGUGGGGAAUAUUGCACAAUGGGCGGAAGCCUGAUGCAGCAACGCCGCGUGCGGGAUGACGGCCUUCGGGUUGUAAACCGCUUUCGCCUGUGACGAAGCGUGAGUGACGGUAAUGGGUAAAGAAGCACCGGCUAACUACGUG